GACGAACGCUGGCGGCGUGCUUAACACAUGCAAGUCGAACGGAAAGGCCCUGCUUUUGUGGGGUGCUCGAGUGGCGAACGGGUGAGUAACACGUGAGUAACCUGCCCUUGACUUUGGGAUAACUUCAGGAAACUGGGGCUAAUACCGGAUAGGAGCUCCUGCUGCAUGGUGGGGGUUGGAAAGUUUCGGCGGUUGGGGAUGGACUCGCGGCUUAUCAGCUUGUUGGUGGGGUAGUGGCUUACCAAGGCUUUGACGGGUAGCCGGCCUGAGAGGGUGACCGGCCACAUUGGGACUGGGAUACGGCCCAGACUCCUACGGGAGGCAGCAGUGGGGAAUAUUGCACAAGGGGCGGAAGCCUGAUGCAGAAACGCCGCGUGCGGGAUGACGGCCUUCGGGUUGUAAACCGCUUUCGCCUGUGACGAAGCGUGAGUGACGGUAAUGGGUAAAGAAGCACCGGCUAACUACGU
rnacentral:rRNA from 1 species